GCUACCUACGUCAUAGAGUUAUUAUCAAGAUGAAAUGAAACUACAGCUCUGAAGAGCUUAGAACUGGCCUGGUGCAUAUUGGUAGAAAAUGCUCAACAAAUCGCACAAGGAUCACACAUUUUAUAUUUUGGAGGCGUCUGUCAUGAUACAGGAAAAAUUUUCAUGACACAAUGUUAAGCUAAAAAUAUGUGACUACAGAUAUAUUAAGAUCCUAACUUGGGAAUAUUAAAAUACGUAUAAAUAGCCACCUAGUUUGGUCUAGACCAAGCAAAAAAGGUCAAAGGGGGGUACAUCAAAAUUGUAAAAAUUGUAAAUUAUAUCUCUGUACCUUUGUAUAUUUUCCAUGUUUCCUACAAGGAGCAUAACAUUUACAAUCAACAAAACAGGUAUUUUUAGAAAAAAGAGGCGGGGAACACAAGGGUCUUCAGGGCUGGGCAGGUCAUUGAAAUUCCAGUUCAGCGAAGGCUCAUCUAGACAUUCAACUCAACUCCCUGCUCAUAAUCGCCAGCUGUUGCUGCUGGACCAGUUUACAGAACAUCAGCAUCCACCCGGGGGUUUAAUGCCUUUGCUCACAUGUGCCCCUCUCAACCCUCCAACCAGGGGAGGAAAUGACCUGGCCGGGUCCACACGACAAGCUCAAGACGCCAUGGUGUCCUAACUCCCAGGUCAGCUGGCCUCCCAGUGCACCAGGACGCUUGAGUUUUCUGGUUACAAUGGCUCCCAAAUCUGAGUUAGUAUUUUGGAGGAGUCUACUCCCAUCCCUCAUAAAUAGUCACACUUGGCUCCUACCGUGAAUUUAUCUGAUUUUCUCACCUAACAGACAAUGAGCUCCUCGAAGAACCAUGUCUGAGUCAACUGGUGUCUCUACCACCACGAGACCUGGCACAGAGGAGGUAUGCAGCAAACGUGCCUCCUCCUCCUAUUUCCCUUCCCUCCCCUCCUCCCCACUCCCCUGACUGCCAUGUUUCUGUCUGUCCUAGUCACUGUCCUUCCCUGACUUUUGCAGCCACCCACUUGCUGCUCCACUCAGAAUCCUUGGGGAUACCUCCUCCGCCUUCCAUCCCUGCGCACUGAGCCCUGCCGCCCCCUGGCACCACACAGCAACUAAGGCUGCAAUCAUGACCCAUCCUAGCCUGAAGUGCAUCAGAACACAUCCUUCUGCUGGUUCCUGGUGUGCUGACAGAGGUCUCCUGAUGCCCUCAUCCUGAUAACACAGCCAUGAUGAGAAUACAAGAGAAGAUUCCAAAUGCCACAACGCCAUUGUGAUGCUUGUCAUCCAAACAGAAAGCUGGAUGCUUCCCUAAGUGACCUCCCCCCCCCAACCCCAACUUGAGCCCAUCCCAUGAGCCCAAGUCUGGGAAGCAAGCAACAAAGGCUGCCAUGUGUAGCAUAUGCUGUAUUAGAGAUAAGAACUAAAUUUUAUAAAGAAGGGAAAAAUGCAAUGUCGGUGUUCAACUGUAUACCAGAUGCAGCAAGGGAUCAGAGGUAGUGAGAAAUAGGAUUCGACUUGCAUUUUAGGGAGAACACCCUGGCCAUAGCACAGCGGAGAGCUGAGUCAGGAAGCAAGCAGGACACUCUUGGCAGACACAGCCCCCAAAUCCAGGUGCCGGGGAUUCAGCUGUGAAUAAAACAAACAAGCAUCCCUGUCCUCGCAGAACUUACACUCUGCUCAGAGGGAUAAAGACGAUUCCAAGAUAAAUAAGUAAACUCUACAGCAAAUGAGGUGGUGAGCGGUGUGGAGGGGGACACAGUGCACCCCGUGUUGGCAGCAGGGUGUGGACAUUUCAGAAAGGGUGGUCAGUAAAGGCAUUUGAGCCAAGACUUGAAAGAGUGAGAGAAGGAGCC